UCCGGCUUGUCACCGGCAGUCUCCUUAGAGUGCUCUUGCGUAGCAACUAAGGACAAGGGUUGCGCUCGUUGCGGGACUUAACCCAACAUCUCACGACACGAGCUGACGACAGCCAUGCAGCACCUGUGUGCCGGCUCUCUUUCGAGCACCCCGGCCUCUCAGCCAGGUUCCGACCAUGUCAAGGGUAGGUAAGGUUUUUCGCGUAGCAUCGAAUUAAUCCACAUCAUCCACCGCUUGUGCGGGUCCCCGUCAAUUCCUUUAAGUUUUAAUCUUGCGACCGUACUCCCCAGGCGGUCAACUUCACGCGUUAGCUUCGUUACUAAGGAUAGCUAUCCCCAACAACUAGUUGACAUCGUUUAGGGCGUGGACUAC
rnacentral:misc_RNA from 1 species